GCAUUGGUAGUUCAGUGGUAGAAUUCUAGCUUGCCAUGUUGGAGGCCUGGGUUAGAUUCCCAGCCAAUGCA